AAGUCAAGUUGGGUAAUUGCUGUUCCAACAAUACUAAUAAUUUAGGAUUGUCGGGGUAGAGGAAAGUCCGAACUCCAAGAACAAUGGUGCCGGGUAACGCCCGGGUAUCCCGAUUUAAUCGGGGUAACGGAAAGUGCCACAGAAAAGAAACUACCCCGAUUUAGUCGGGGCAAAGGUGAAACGGCAGGGUAAGAGCCUACCGCUCCGGUAGUAAUACCGGGGGUCCCGAAUAAAUUCGGGAUCUCGCCCCGGAUUUAUCCGGGACGGGACAAGGCAAACCCCACCUGGAGCAAGAUCAAGUAGAGAAGCUUCCCAAUUAAUUUUGGGAACAGCUGUUCGGCAUGCGCUUCUCGGGUAGAUCGCUUGACCCUGAUGGUAACAUCCGGGCUAGACAAAUAAUUACCGUCCCGACUUAGUCGGGAUUACAGAAUUCGGCUUAUAGACGUGGCUUAUCC
rnacentral:RNase_P_RNA from 1 species